rnacentral:lncRNA from 1 species
GAUGGUAUUGUAUUCAGCCUGCAGUGCCACGGAAAGUCCCUCUCCCUCCUCCUCCCGCACAAUGACACAAGGGUCAGCCUGUCUUUCCUCCACUGUGUUUUUGAUUCACUUCUCCUUUAGGAAAAUGUUGUAUAACCUUUGACCUCCAGCAGUGACCUUUUAACCCUACUGGCCCCACCUACAGAGUCCCCUCAGCCAAAAGUAUAAGGUGACAGAUUCUUCACCAGUGUUGUAGCUGGCUACCUGAUAAUAAAAUAAGUACUUCAGUACAAUUUAUAGGUAAGCCUACUUGUACUUUACUUGAGUAUAUUCAUUUUUUGUUACUUUAUACUCCACUACAAUUCAGAGGCACAUAUUUUACUUAAUACACUAGCAAGCCUACAUUUACUUAAUCACCUAAGUUUCUUUUUAGAUUCAUAUCAGUCAACAAAAAAAUAAUGAUGUAUUUUUAUAGGUUUGAGAUCAAAUGUAUUGACCCCUGGUAGACAAUUAAUUCACAAGCUACCAAGAAGUAGGCUAUACAACAACACCGUUAACAACUGCAACAUUAAUGUGACACACACGUCAAUCAUUCGGCUAUAUUCUACAUAAUAUUACAUAUUUUAAAAAUAUAGGUGUUCCUGCAUACUCAAUACUUUCACUUGUGGUACAUUUUUGAUGCUUCUGGAGGCUACUUCUACUUCUUCCACCGCUGGGUCUCUCACCACCACCACCACCGCCUCCCCCUGCACCCUGCACCCUCCCCCUGUCUGAUGAUAUCUCAGCCCGGAGAGGUUUGAAUCCAGUCUCUGGCCCCAGCCGCCAUGCUGAGCUGAGAGAGUUGCGACCAACCAAACUUUGUCACGCUGCUGCACCGACUUUCAUCUCCGUACACACCGGGUCUAAGAGGAAAGCUUCCCCACGACUUGUGCCUCUCCCUCAAUCUCUUCUAACUGUGUGAAGAAACGUGGAAAGGAGUUUUAAUGCAUCAGUAUUCGCUAGCCGACGCCAUGACAGACAAGUAAGUGGUUUCUCUUUUUCAAAAGUGUGUUUGUGUAAAGAACCAUCUGUACUCCGUGGCCCUUUUGUGUAGUGUGAAGUAAUAAGAUGAUGUCUCGUGUGAU